rnacentral:rRNA from 1 species
UACGAAGGGGGCUAGCGUUGCUCGGAAUCACUGGGCGUAAAGGGUGCGUAGGCGGAUUUCUAAGUCAGGGGUGAAAGCCUGAGGCUCAACCUCAGAACUGCCUUUGAUACUGGAAGUCUUGAGACCGGAAGAGGUAAGUGGAACUGCGAGUGUAGAGGUGAAAUUCGUAGAUAUUCGCAAGAACACCAGUGGCGAAGGCGGCUUACUGGUCCGGUUCUGACGCUGAGGCACGAAAGCGUGGGGAGCAAACAGGG